UACGUAGGGGGCAAGCGUUGUCCGGAAUCAUUGGGCGUAAAGCGCGUGUAGGCGGCCUUGUAAGUCCGUUCUGAAAGCCCGGGGCUCAACCCCGGGAGGCGGAUGGAUACUGCAAGGCUCGAGUACGGAAGAGGCGAGUGGAAUUCCUGGUGUAGCGGUGAAAUGCGCAGAUAUCAGGAGGAACACCGAUGGCGAAGGCAGGUCUCUGGGCCACUACUGACGCUGAGAAGCGAAAGCAUGGGGAGCGAACAGG
rnacentral:rRNA from 1 species